GAGGGGAGCGAAUGCGGCGAUCCAUUCUCUUCCUUCCUUCCUCACCAUGAAUGGUUAGGGCGAGGCUCUGCGUUAUGAUAAGCGUGCCCAAUCUUUUCCACAUCCAUUCGUUUCCGUCUCCCUUCGAUCGUGUUCUUCUCUUUCUUCAUCGAUUAGUCAAAAACUGAUCUUUUUUUCUCUCUCAUUAAUGGUUUUGAUUGACAGAUACGUGGCCGAGAAGUUGCUUAAAUUUCUGCCAAGAAAAGAUCUGUUCUUACCUUAGCUGCUGUCGAUUCUUUUUCAUCUCCCUUUGAUUGGGUUCUUCUCUUCCUUCAUCGAUUUGUCAAGAACUGAUCUUUUUUCCCUCAGGUUUCUCAUUGACAGAUACGUGGGCUGCUGUAUUCUCAUCGUAGUCUUUGAAAAAGAAUCUGUUUUACCACUUCGCCUCCCCUUCGACCCUUCGUCGAAGGCCUUCUUGGCAAAUAGUUCUAGGUGUGGGGUAUUCCAUCAUAUUGAUGAGUAGGGUUUGGGGUUGAUCGAUUAUCAAUUUGGGGAAGCUUAUGAAAAACAAGUCUUGAUUGGUUGCUAAUUGCUGUUAUAAAUUUGAACAACCAUAUGAUAUUGUCUGUCCAUGCUCGACACUCUGACUAUCUUGAUUCGAACUAGUAAAUAUGAUUCAUUAAUGCAGGCUUGUCUUCUUGGUUAUAUACGUUCGAAGUAUGGCUGGCAGUGUGUCUAUUAUUGUUCUUGAUAAGUUUUUGGCUCUUCGGAAAAGGGUGGUCCUAAGUGAUGAAUAACUCUUGAAAGCUAUGGAACUAUUUCCAAGUGGAGCUUUUGUCAUAGUUACUCUGAUAGGGCUUUUGUGUUUGUUGAUACUUGAAUGUGUUUGAUUUUCUAUCAACUUUUCGGAUUAAUUAUAGGUUUCAUUUAACUUGAUAAGUUAUAUUCUCUUACAAAAAUGGUGACCCUAAGUGAUGAAUAACUCUUGAAAGCUAUGGAAUUAUUUCCAAGUGGAGCUUUUGUCAUAGUUACUCUGAUAGGGCUUUUUUGUUUGUAUGUCUUUGAUUUUCUAUCAACUUUUUGGAUUAAAUAUAGGUUUCAUUUCAUUGCUCAAUGAAUCUUCCAUCAUCGGAGUGGAUUCAAUCAGUCCCACAACUUUUUGCUGCCAUCAGCUCAUAAUGUUGAAUCAUAUCAGUAUUACUGAUCUUUCUUUUUGCUGCUUAUGCUGAUGUGAUGACCUACGAUUUCAUGGAUCGACUGUGUACGUGGUUUCUCCGAUUACAUAGGACUUUUGAGAGAAAGAUGGUUCUUAAUUGUGCAGUUGACCAACUAAGGUCACGACUGGCCAAGAUUGAUGGGAUUUCUUGGCUAAAAGCUCUCAAGAUCCAUGGAUCCCUCUUAUCUACAUGCACUCCUACAUGCAAGUUGGACCAGUCUGUUCUUGUUUCUAUGUUGAUUUCCUUUUGAAUAUCUUUGUGAUCAAACUUUUCCAUCUUUUCUCAUCGGUUUCCUGUGUUCUUUUCUUUUCUUUUCUUUUUGUGUGUGUGUUUUUUUUCUUUUGUGCAUGUGUAGCCUUAAUUGGCUUUUUGGUGAGUUGACAGAUUACAUGAACAAAACUGUUUCCAGUUGUUUCAAAACCUUAAUUGGUGUGUGUCCAUUUUUUGUUUUUUUUUGUGCAUGUGUGGCCUUAAUUGGCUUUUAGGUGGGUUGACAGAUUACAUGAGCAAAACUGUUUUGAUACCUAGAAGGUUGUGAUAUGCCUGAUUCUCAUGGAUUUACGAGAAAAAAAAGCAAAAUAGUAAAGAUAUGAAAUCACCAAACAUAAAUUAAAACUGUUUUCUGAGUUGAAAAUAAGUCAUUGAAGCAAGAUUUGCAUUAUUUUCUUCUUUGGAAAGUGUUUGGGCUUUUUAAAAUCUUCUUCAAGGUGCAUGGUGUUUAUUGGCAUGUUAAGAAGACCAACAUUGUUUCACUAUGCUCCUCGAUGAGUGAUUGAAGAGUGUUGUUUUCUUUUUUAAAUAUCUAAAAAAAGGUACAUUAUGCUUCUCGGAGCAAAAAAAAAAGCCCAAUUCUUCCGGCUAAUCAUUCCUCCACGUAUAGGAGUGUUUUGACAUCAGAGCAAAAUGCGCGAAUCAAUUGGCACUUCGGUUUCUCUCACGGAACAACAACAACGACAACAACAAUAAAACCAUAAGUCUCAACUAUUUGGGGUCUAGCUACGUAGAUCUUUUGUUGUCAUUGAAAUUUAUAAAAAGUUAUUUUCCUCACGAAACAUGUGACAAAAUUUACAAGCAUUAAAUAACUUAGCCAGUCCCAAGAUACAUUUUAUACAGUCUCUUCCUUCACAUGUGACUGAAGAGAGUUUAUUUGUUGUAUUGGCUUCUUUUCAGUGUAACCUGAUUAUUGCCAUGACUGAAUCAACAUACUUUGGUUUUGCUUUUGCACCAUAGUAUUGGUCACAUGAUUCUUCCAGUGCAUAAUGGCUCUUCUCUUUGUUUAUUUUUUAUCUCCAUGUAAUCAAGCAUGCUGAUAAUUUGCUUCUCAUGGGUUACAGUCACUUCCCUAGCACCUGGUGUUUGAUGAUUUGUUGCAAUUGUUCUUCCACUCAGGCACUUACGUAACACAGUUGAGGGUCUUAAGGAGGUAGUUUUUACUCUAGGGGCUCCAGAACUUUUCUGUAUGCAUCCAAGGUUUGAAUGUAACCUACCAUUUGUAUGUUUCUCUGCAACUUGGAACACUUAGCAGACAUUGAUUAUCUUAAAUACUGUUUUUUAGCAUGCACAUUUGACUUGUAUUAUGCAGUAUAAACCUGAUCUGUCUUCUGGCAUUUCUGCAGCAGGUUAGUAUACCGCACCCUUAUGCUGAUGCAUAUUAUGGUGGUGUCUUGACUAUGUUUGGACCAAAUGCGUUUGUUGGUGCUAUUUGAAAUAUCCGUAUAUUUUCAAAAUUGCAUAAGCAAAUGUUGCUACUCAAUUUCUGUUAAUCAAUGGUUGGUCUUUUCCAGUUCAAAUUUUAACAUUUGUAGUGUUUGACAUUAGUUGCUUUAUAAGUUGGAAAUAAUCAAACUGUUGUACGAACCAAGGUUUUAAACCUUGGCUUCACCUCUAUCUUGUUCUUGUUUGCAGCAUUGCAGUUUGAAUAGUUUGGUAGCUCCCUCCAAGGCCAAGGUCUUGGUCUCGCUCUGAAAAUUAGGAAAUGGAAGCAAAAUGAAACAAGCGAAGAAAAUUUAUUCCACAUUAGUAUGGAAAAUCAAUGCUGCUAUAGUUUGUGCACCGAGAAGAGAAAUCCUUUGUAGACAUAAGAUUUUUCAUUACAAAUAAUGUGAUGUUGAAUGUUUAUCUAGGUGAAAUUUAUUGUGUUGCACUAAAUUGCAUACUGAAGUUCUGGUAUUUCUUUUUGAUAAUAUGAAAGAUUGAUACUGAACUGAACCUUUUGAUAAAUGUAUCUAGAUUGAAACUAAAAGAUAAAUGUAAGAUCUUCUGUCAUUAGCAUGGAUUUCAUGUGUUAAAUGUCAAUUGGUAGAAAAUAAUGACCAUAUCAAAAAAAAUUUGUGAGCCUUUGUAUAAAACGAUUAAUUGUAAAUUCGAGUUAUUGAAGUAAACUCUGAAAACUAGAAGUUCUAGUGCAGUUAGGUACAAACUAGAUUUAUAUAAACAACAUUGAAAAAAAAAAGUAUGUUGUUUAAUAUUAUUUUAAAAAAGAGAGCUUGAUAAUGAUGUUCUUAAUAAAUUUAAAGAUAGAUGGUUGAAGGGGAGAAGAGCAUUAAAUGCCCUUUAAAUUGAAUAAAUUUAUAAGAAGUCUGAAUGUUUAAAUAAGUUUAGUAUGUCUAGAAAUGAGUUCAUGGGCUUUGUGAUCAGUUAUAAAAUAUUAUGCAGUUUAAUAAAGGAAUUUUUCUCUUCUGAUGUCAUCAUGAUGUGAUAUGUUUUCAUCAUCUGAGGGCUAUGGUGGUAUGCCAAUCAAUGCUUUAUCAUGAUAGGUUAAUUGAGCUUGUUGAAUCUUGAUUGAUUUGAGAUAAUGAGCACAAUUUGAGAGCAUAGUUGGUUCCAACAUGACUCUGAUAACGAUGUUUCGAUCUCUGAGGGCCUGAACUCAUCCAUGUGGCAUUGGCUUGCUGGCCAAAGGAGGGCAAGUACUUGAUGGGUGCCGUGGUGGUGCUGGUGCUGGUGCUGGUGCUGGUGGUGGCCCUCUCUGGUCCUUGCAAUCAUGUUCACCUUCACUGAGACUCCUCACAGCAUUUGCUACAGGUGAGAAUGAUGGAGAAAGGACUUGAGAUCAAUCAUGUGAACUUGCUGAACUCUUGCACAAUCUCUCCAACUUUUACGUUUUCCCAAAGUUUAUGUACACAUCCUUGAUGCUUGUCAAAGUCCACAAGAUGAUAGUGUGAAAGGUUUCUUUUCCAUAUUUAUGGUGAUGUGCAUCUCUUGUUGUAUGUCUAAGUUUUUGUGUUGCUUAUGCAAGACAAGGAUUGACAAGGGACCAUACUCUUGUGGUUUGGAUGCAAAA